ensembl:snRNA U1 U1 spliceosomal RNA
GGACCCUGACAGGAAGACACCAUGAUCAAGCAGGUGGUUUUCCAAGGUGGAGUUUCAUCCACUGUACUCAGGUGUGCUGACCCCUGUUACUUCCCUAAAUGCAGAAAAGUCAACUGCAUAAUUUUUGGUAGUGGGUGACUGCAUUUGCACUCUCACG